rnacentral:tRNA from 1 species
UGGGUCGAUGCCCGAGCGGUUAAUGGGGACGGACUGUAAAUUCGUUGACGAUAUGUCUACGCUGGUUCAAAUCCAGCUCGUUCCAG